rnacentral:rRNA from 1 species
GACGAACGCUGGCGGCGUGCUUAACACAUGCAAGUCGAACGGAAAGGCCCUGCUUUUGUGGGGUGCUCGAGUGGCGAACGGGUGAGUAACACGUGAGUAACCUGCCCUUGACUUUGGGAUAACUUCAGGAAACUGGGGCUAAUACCGGAUAGGAGCUCCUGCUGCAUGGUGGGGGUUGGAAAGUUUCGGCGGUUGGGGAUGGACUCGCGGCUUAUCAGCUUGUUGGUGGGGUAGUGGCUUACCAAGGCUUUGACGGGUAGCCGGCCUGAGAGGGUGACCGGCCACAUUGGGACUGAGAUACGGCCCAGACUCCUACGGGAGGCAGCAGUGGGGAAUAUUGAACAAUGGGCGGAAGCCUGAUGCAGCAACGCCGCGUGCGGGAUGACGGCCUUCGGGUUGUAAACCGAUUUCGCCUGUGACGAAGCGUGAGUGACGGUAAUGGGUAAAGAAGCACCGGCUAACUACGUG